rnacentral:rRNA from 1 species
UGGCGGACGGGUGAGUAACGCGUGGGUAACCUGCCUCAUACAGGGGGAUAACAGUUAGAAAUGACUGCUAAUACCGCAUAAGCGCACGAGGAUGCAUGUUCUUGUGUGAAAAACUCCGGUGGUAUGAGAUGGACCCGCGUCUGAUUAGCUAGUUGGAGGGGUAACGGCCCACCAAGGCGACGAUCAGUAGCCGACCUGAGAGGGUGACCGGCCACAUUGGGACUGAGACACGGCCCAAACUCCUACGGAAGGCAGCAG